AACUCGGCCAUUUAGAGGAAGUACAAGUCGUAACAAGGUUUCCGUAGGUGAACCUGCGGAAGGAUCAUG
rnacentral:rRNA from 1 species